rnacentral:rRNA from 1 species
UACGAAGGGGGCUAGCGUUGCUCGGAAUCACUGGGCGUAAAGCGCACGUAGGCGGCUUUCUAAGUCAGGGGUGAAAUCCUGGAGCUCAACUCCAGAACUGCCUUUGAUACUGGAAAGCUUGAGUUCGGGAGAGGUGAGUGGAACUGCGAGUGUAGAGGUGAAAUUCGUAGAUAUUCGCAAGAACACCCAGUGGCGAAGGCGGCUCACUGGCCCGAUACUGACGCUGAGGUGCGAAAGCGUGGGGAGCAAACAGG